UAAAAUCAUGUCAAACCUUUGUUGUUUUUUUGUUGUAUCAGUAUUGUAUUUUCCUGAUGAGGUUACCUUACCCAGAUCUCUGUUAAGUCUGCGACAGCGCUCUUUAUAAGCUGUAAAUAUUUGCUAGAAGUUGGAAUUGGUGAAUGAGCUUUGGCUCUAUUUUCUGCAUUUUGUGUUUGCUAGAAGUUGGAAUUGGUGAAUGAGCUUUGGCUCUAUUUUCUGCAUUUUGUGCUGCCCAAAUCGGUUGACCGGUGCCGCUAUUUGCCUGCUCGAUGCCAAGUGCCUCCUUUAGGAAAAAAAUAUUCUACUUUAAUGUUUAAAGGAAGGGAUAAAUGCCAAGUGCCUCCUUUAGGAAAAAAAUAUUCUACUUUAAUGUUUAAAGGAAGGGAUAAAUGAUCAUUUGAGUCAUACUGUAUCUAGAAUAAAUGUAAUAAAAAUCAG
rnacentral:lncRNA from 1 species